GACGAACGCUGGCGGCGUGCCUAAUACAUGCAAGUCGAGCGAAGUUUUUCUGGUGCUUGCACUAGAAAAACUUAGCGGCGAACGGGUGAGUAACACGUAAAGAACCUGCCUCAUAGACUGGGACAACUAUUGGAAACGAUAGCUAAUACCGGAUAACAGUAUUUCUCGCAUGAGAGAUAUUUAAAAGUUGGUUAUGCUAACACUAUGAGAUGGCUUUGCAGUGCAUUAGCUAGUUGGUGGGGUAAAGGCCCACCAAGGCGACGAUGCAUAGCCGACCUGAGAGGGUGAUCGGCCACACUGGGACUGAGACACGGCCCAGACUCCUACGGGAGGCAGCAGUAGGGAAUCUUCCGCAAUGGGCGAAAGCCUGACGGAGCAACGCCGCGUGAGUGAAGAAGGAUUUCGGUUCGUAAAGCUCUGUUGUUAGGGAAGAAUGGAUAUGUAGUAACUAUACAUGUAAGAGACGGUACCUAACCAGAAAGCCACGGCUAACUACGUG
rnacentral:rRNA from 1 species